rnacentral:rRNA from 1 species
AUGGUCCUCGCCGCCCUUGCCGGCCUGCUCGCGAAUGAAAAGCCGCAGCGGGGUGGCUCGGCAUCGGGACGGCUGAAAGCAAAGAACCGGCAUCGUCUGGAAGGCUAUUGCAUGCUCUACUCCGACUACUUCGCCGACGCUCCAUUGCACGGCGACAAAAUGUUUCGGCGCCGUUAUCGGAUGAGCCGAAAGCUUUUCCUCAGGAUUGUGAAUUCCAUCCGGGAGUUCGACAGCUACUUCAAGUGCAAGAAGGGUUGCACCGGCACACUUGGAUUCACCUCAAUACAGAAGUGCACGACAGCUAUGAGGAUGCUUGCAUAUGGAGCUCCCGGUGAUUCACUCGACGACUAUGGGCGCAUGGCCGAGUCCACGGCCAUUGAGUGUUUCUACAAGUUCUGCAGGGCAGUGGUGGCAGUGUUUGGACCGCAGUACUUGCGAUCACCCAAUGCUGAAGACACUGCUCGGAUCCUAGCACAGAAUGCUGCAAGAGGAUUUUCUGGGAUGCUUGGAAGCAUCGACUGCAUGCAUUAA